rnacentral:rRNA from 1 species
GACGAGCCACACAAACGUUAUUCGGAAUCACUGGGCUUAAAGGGUGCGUAGGCGGCGCGGAAAGUGGGGUGUGAAAGCCCUCGGCUCAACCGAGGAAUUGCGCUCCAAACUACCGUGCUUGAGUGAGACAGAGGUAAGCGGAACUUCGGGUGGAACGGUGAAAUGUGUUGAUAUCCGAAGGAACACCGGUGGCGAAAGCGGCUUACUGGGUCUCAACUGACGCUGAUGCACGAAAGCCAGGGUAGCAAACGGG